rnacentral:rRNA from 1 species
GACGAACGUUGGCGGCGUGCUUAACACAUGCAAGUCGAACGGAAAGGCCCUGCUUUUGUGGGGUGCUCGAGUGGCGAACGGGUGAGUAACACGUGAGUAACCUGCCCUUGACUUUGGGAUAACUUCAGGAAACUGGGGCUAAUACCGGAUAGGAGCUCCUGCUGCAUGGUGGGGGUUGGAAAGUUUCGGCGGUUGGGGAUGGACUCGCGGCUUAUCAGCUCGUUGGUGGGGUAGUGGCUUACCAAGGCUUUGACGGGUAGCCGGCCUGAGAGGGUGACCGGCCACAUUGGGACUGAGAUACGGCCCAGACUCCUACGGGAGGCAGCAGUGGGGAAUAUUGCACAAUGGGCGGAAGCCUGAUGCAGCAACGCCGCGUGCGGGAUGACGGCCUUCGGGUUGUAAACCGCUUUCGCCUGUGACGAAGCGUGAGUGACGGUAAUGGGUAAAGAAGCACCGGCUAACUACGUGCCAGCAGCCGCGGUGAUACGUAGGGUGCGAGCGUUGUCCGGAUUUAUUGGGCGUAAAGGGCUCGUAGGUGGUUGAUCGCGUCGGAAGUGUAAUCUUGGGGCUUAACCCUGAGCGUGCUUUCGAUACGGGUUGACUUGAGGAAGGUAGGGGAGAAUGGAAUUCCUGGUGGAGCGGUGGAAUGCGCAGAUAUCAGGAGGAACACCAGUGGCGAAGGCGGUUCUCUGGGCCUUUCCUGACGCUGAGGAGCGAAAGCGUGGGGAGCGAACAGGCUUAGAUACCCUGGUAGUCCACGCUGUAAACGGUGGGUACUAGGUGUGGGGUCCAUUCCACGGGUUCCGUGCCGUAGCUAACGCUUUAAGUACCCCGCCUGGGGAGUACGGCCGCAAGGCUAAAACUCAAAGGAAUUGACGGGGCCCCGCACAAGCGGCGGAGCAUGCGGAUUAAUUCGAUGCAACGCGUAGAACCUUACCUGGGUUUGACAUGGAUCGGGAGUGCUCAGAGAUGGGUGUGCCUCUUUUGGGGUCGGUUCACAGGUGGUGCAUGCCUGUCGUCAGCUCGUGUCGUGAGAUGUUGGGUUAAGUCCCGCAACGAGCGCAACCCUUGUUCACUGUUGCCAGCACGUUAUGGUGGGGACUCAGUGGAGACCGCCGGGGUCAACUCGGAGGAAGGUGGGGAUGACGUCAAGUCAUCAUGCCCCUUAUGUCCAGGGCUUCACGCAUGCUACAAUGGCUGGUACAGAGAGUGGCGAGCCUGUGAGGGUGAGCGAAUCUCGGAAAGCCGGUCUCAGUUCGGAUUGGGGUCUGCAACUCGACCUCAUGAAGUCGGAGUCGCUAGUAAUCGCAGAUCAGCAACGCUGCGGUGAAUACGUUCCCGGGGCU